AAACUUGAGCUAAUACCGGAUACGGCUGAGAGGCGAAAGAUUUAUCGCCGGGGGAUCGGCCCGCGUCCGAUUAGCUAGUUGGUGUGGUAAUGGCGCACCAAGGCGACGAUCGGUAGCUGGUCUGAGAGGAUGAUCAGCCACAUUGGGACUGAGACACGGCCCAAACUCCUACGGGAGGCAGCAGUGGGGAAUAUUGGACAAUGGGCGAAAGCCUGAUCCAGCCAUGCCGCGUGAGUGAUGAAGGCCUUAGGGUUGUAAAGCUCUUUCGCCCACGACGAUAAUGACGGUAGUGGGAGAAGAAGCCCCGGCUAACUUC
rnacentral:rRNA from 1 species